rnacentral:rRNA from 1 species
AGCAGCCGCGGUAAUUCCAGCUCCAAUAGCGUAUAUUAAAGUUGUUGCAGUUAAAAAGCUCGUAGUUGAAUUUCAGGCCUGGCUGGGCGGUCCGCCUUUUGGGUGAGUACUGCCUGUGGUCGGGUCCUACCUUCUGGCGAAGCGUCAUGGCCUUAACCGGCCGUGGCGGGGAACCAGGACUUUUACUGUGAAAAAUUAGAGUGUUCAAAGCAGGCAGUCGCUUGAAUACAUUAGCAUGGAAUAAUGGAAUAGGACAGUGGUUCUAUUUGUUGGUUUCUAGGACCGUUGUAAUGAUUAAUAGGGAUAGUUGGGGGCAUUAGUAUUCAAUUGUCAGAGGUGAAAUUCUUGGAUUUAUUGAAGACUAACUACUGCGAAAGCAUUUGCCAAGGAUGUUUUCAUUAAUCAAGAACGAAAGUUAGGGGAUCGAAGACGAUCAGAUACCGUCGUAGU